rnacentral:antisense_RNA from 1 species
CUUGAUGGAGCCCAGCCGCAGCGGCUCGCCGCCGCCCCGCUCCUGGCCGUAGGUGGCCAGCAGCGCCUGCGCCUC